GGUCAUUGAAGCGCCGCUGCCGACGAUGGGUGUCGUCGCCAAAGUUGCAAUCCAAAAUGGGCAUUUGAGGCGCCUUAAGAAAAUCCCCUUUCAUUUCAAAUUUGCAGAAAUUGGAGGAAUUUCAAAUUAAUCCUAUUUUCGAUUUAUUGCCUUUUCAAGCUAUUGCCAAUUGCCCGUUAAAGAAGUGGGGCCCACACUUUUUU
rnacentral:misc_RNA from 1 species